GUGGCCGUGGUGUAGCGGCAGCACCCGGGGUUGUGAGCCCCGCGGCGCCGGUUCGAAUCCGGCCGGCCGCC
rnacentral:tRNA from 1 species